CCAACGUGGAUACUCCUGGGAGGUCAAUCUCCCUGGGCUCUGUCCAGGUGGGAUAGAAGAGCAUAGGGUUCUGCCCCAUGAUGUACAGUCCAUUUCCACCACGCCUUGAGUCUGCACCUGCAUUCCUACAGCUUCUCAGGGUUCUGUGGACAGUGACAGAGGAGACAAACCAUGUGGAAACAGCU
ensembl:snoRNA SNORA73 Small nucleolar RNA SNORA73 family